rnacentral:rRNA from 1 species
CCUACGGGUGGCAGCAGUGGGGAAUAUUGGUCAAUGGACGCAACUCUGACCCAGCAACGCCGCGUGAAUGAUGAAGGUCUUCUGAUUGUAAAGUUCUUUUCUAAGGGAAGAAGAAAUUGACGGUACCUUAGGAAUAAGCCUCGGCUAACUACGUGCCAGCAGCCGCGGUAAUACGGAGGAGGCAAGCGUUAUCCGGAAUGACUGGGCGUACAGGGUGCGUAGGUGUAUUGAGAAGUUGGUAGCGUAACUCCGGAGCUCAACUUAGGAACUAGUACCAAAACUGUGUGACUUGAGGGCAGGAGGGGCAAGUGGAAUUUGUAGUGUAGCGGUGGAAUGCGUAGAUAUUAGGAAGAACACCGGUGGCGAAGGCGAGUUGCUGGACUGUAACUGACACUGAGGCACGAAAGCGUGGGGAGCAAACAGGAUUAGAUACCCUAGUAGUC